rnacentral:lncRNA from 1 species
UUUGAGUUAGUCUCCAAAUAGAAGUUGUUGUGUACAUCUUAAGCUUUCCAGAGAGUAUUUAUUUGUGGUUUUUUACUGGGUAGUUUGAGAGCAGCGAUCUCCUCAAGCUUGCUGUCCAAAAAUUAGUAACUCUAUUCAGACAUGAUAUAGCAAAAGAAGCAAUGCAUUGAUACUUCCCCUGUUCCUUUCAUGUUUGCUUGCUAUCUACUACAUAUUAAACCGUCCAAAAUAGGAUCACCAGUCAUGUCAGGAAUGACAUUGUAUUAUUACCAUACUUCAACUACUGAUUGUUGGUAAUUCUGACAGCUCUAUUAUUUGCAUUGCUAAUAUAUUCUGGUAUAUAUUUCAGAUCCUAUGCUACUUAUUUACAUCACAAACUAAUUUGUCAUUUUAAUGUUUUAUAUGCUGGCAUAUGUUUCAGCUUACAUCCAGAUUUGUUUUGCCUUAUGCCUCUGUUUUCGAGUCGUUCGACUAGUCGCGACUAGUCGACGACUAGUCGAUGAGUCGCUGCUCCAGGUUCGACUCAAACUCUCGACUCGACUCCUGGCAUGAGUCGAGCGACUCGAGCGACUAGUCUCGACUAGUCACGACUAGUCGCUCUUUCUGGGUCGAGCGACUCACUUAAAUUGAGCCCAACUGUUAUAUGGGCCGGCCCAUCUCCCCUGGAAACGUAGAUCGAUCAUCCCCCACCCCCUCCCCCGAUCGAACCCUCUCCAGCCGCCACCCCUGGUUGCCCCUGCUGCUGUUCUGCUCGUCCCCUCCUAUGGUGUGCUCCUCCCCUCCUCCCCUGCUACUGUGCUCCUCCCCUCCCCUGGUUGUUGUUCCUGUUGUUGUGCUCCUCCCCUCCUCCCCUGGUUGAUGUGGCUGCUGGUGUGCCCCUCUCCUUGUUGCUGCUGCUGCUGUUGAGCACUUGUGCUCCUCCCCUGGCUGUUGCUUAACUCAGGUCGACUCGUCGCCAUGUCGACUCAUCGACCAUGAGUCUAGACUAGUCUAGACUAGUCUAGAGUCGCCCCCCUGAGCGACUCAUCGACUCAUCGACUCGAAAACAUUGCCUUAUGCAGAAACUACUGGAUACUUUACAUCAAGAUUGACCAAGUAUGUCCCUUGUUGCUUCAGACAUUAGUUAUCUUCCUGUUGUUAUUAUACCAGCUCCAUUGGUUUCUUAAAAGGUGACAUGCCCUGAUGGAUUUAUUACUCUGUAGAGUGUGUAAAAGUUUUUCAUUUUAUGCCUAUUUGGUGCUUUUAUCCGAACAGGCAGUAAUUUCUUUUGCAGGGGCAAAUGGCAGAAAAUAGCAUGGUUGACACCUUUUGUUCAUACAGAGGUUGAUGUUGGUUUGGUGAUUGAAGAGUUGGUCUCUUCCAUAAUAUUUUGUAGUGGUCAAGUGAUCAGACAUUUGGUCUGUUAGGAUCUUAGCCAUCAAAUUUUGCAACUUGUCUCUGUAUGUCAAUUUAUGUAUCUCCUUGAUGGUUGUAGCUAACUUGAGCGAAGAAAACAAAUGAAUCUUU